UACGUAGGGGGCAAGCGUUAUCCGGAUUUACUGGGUGUAAAGGGGGCGCAGACGGCAGCGCAAGCCAGGAGUGAAAGCCCGGGGCCCAACCCCGGGACUGCUCUUGGAACUGCGCGGCUGGAGUGCAGGAGGGGCAGGCGGAAUUCCUGGUGUAGCGGUGAAAUGCGUAGAUAUCAGGAGGAACACCGGUGGCGAAGGCGGCCUGCUGGACUGCGACUGACGUUGAGGCCCGAAAGCGUGGGGAGCAAACAGG
rnacentral:rRNA from 1 species